rnacentral:tRNA from 1 species
GCGCCCAUAGCUCAGUGGUAGAGCUCUGUACUUAUGAUGCAGCGGUCCCGAGUUCGACCCUCGGUGGGCGUA